AGCAGCUCAAGAACGUCCUAUCACCAGGAAAAACAAGAAUGGUCUGAUAAUAAUCGUGAUGUCAAAGUUCAAGGAACUGAACCCAGUUCAAUUUUUGAACAGGUUAAGACUUCUGAGUGGAUCGGGUGCACGACUAUAGACGAAGACAAAUUUGUCAAUGAAAAACAUAGAUUGAUGGAAUCUCUUUUGACUUCAUACCAGUCAGUUCAACAAACUUUCUUGCUACAUAUGUUGUAUGCAAAGGACAACGAGGUCCCUGAUGA